rnacentral:lncRNA from 1 species
UCCAAGUUUAUUUUUUACUUUAGAAUAAACUAAUAAAAACACUCCUAGUUUUGCUACACAUCAUUUUAUCAAUUUUUCUCAAGUAAGAUAUCUGAUACCAAUUAUACUUUUUCUUCCUUUUUUUUACUUUGGUCCAACAUAUUUUUUUUUAUUUUUUUUAUUUAAAAUAAACUAAAUUGAAACACUCCAAUUUUUUUGCACAUCAUUUUAUCAAUUUUACUGAAGUUACAUAUUUGAUUCAGUGCAAGUAUGUUUUUUUUUAUUAUUAUAUCUUAUAGGUUUAUGUCACACUGAGUCUUCAGGUGUCAGUUAUGAAUGUUUAUUGCACAGGAAAGCUGUCUAUGGCACAGUUACAAUAAAUACAGUACAAAUCUGAAGCAAGAAACUUUGGUGGAAGAUAUACAACUUUGGUGUAUAAUAUUUUAUUUUUUAUAUAUUUCCUGUCAGUGUGGACAGAAAUCUGCUGCUGCAGUUGAUCCACUGCUGUGCUGCCUCUGACGCCCAGCAGGGGGCAGCCGUCAGCCUGCUCAGGACUCUGCAGCACAGGCUGGAUCUGUCCUGCUCCUCCUGUGUGGAGCUGCUGCAGGAGGGUCAGAGUGAAACUCUCAGUCUGACUGAUGAGGACUGCAGGGCCGUCUCCACCAUCCUGAGACACAGCAGCCAGCACACUCAGCUCCACCUGCAGGACUGUGAGGUGGAGGACAGCGGACUGGACCUGCUGUUUCCUGUCCUGGACAGAGUCCUCCUCAGAGCCAGUAAGACUGUCGUCCUCCAGCUGCUGUCCCUGGUUCCUGUGAACAGAGACAGAGACACAGUGAGACGGGCGGUGUCCCUGUGUGGAGCCCUGGGUGGAGAACUGGACCUCAGUCACACCACACUGGAUCAGAGCUCCUGUGGAGCUUUGGCUCAGCUGCUGGACGUCUCUGAAGGGCUGACAGAACUGGACCUGAGUCACUGUGAGCUCACUGACCAGCUGCUGCUCUCACUCCUCACACAUCUGCACAAAGUCCAAGUCCUGGAUCUGAGUCACAAUAAGAUCACUGAUGCUUCUGCUGACAUGUUACUUGAACUGGUCUCCAUCAACCCCUCCAUGGACACUGUGCGACUCUUUGGAAACAACAUUGAGGACAGAACACCCUUUAAGACAGAGAAGCAGUUUGAAAUGUGGUGAUUGGACGCCAACAUUAGCUGUCGUCGUGUUAUUUUACCUUGAUAUAAAGCCUGAUGUCCCUCUUGAUUAUCUCUGAUCACCAUCCUCAGUCUUUCAGGUGGUUAAAUUAUGUCAGUUUUUUCUUGCAACCUGGAGCGCACCAAUUCGACAUUUGUUCCCCCAGAAUAACCCGAAAAAGGUCUGUAUGUUGCUCAGGGACUAACAGUUUGUUUAACGAUAGUAAAAUGAAAUUACUACUAAAGUACGAGGCCUAGACUAGAUUAUCCCAGCAGAAAAUACUGCUAAACGUACACAUACUGCAGUUGUGGUGCUGCAGUAACAUGGUCACAUCAGGUUAGACGAGAUGUUUCACAUGCUGAAGACCACUUCAGAAUUUCUACCUUGUUAGACAAGACUGUUUGUAUGGAGGCCAAGAGCAGCCGGUAGUGUUUGCUAAUGAUUAUUAUUAUUUUAUUUUUUCUCUUAUGGUGUUUUUAUACACUGUUCUGUUGGGAUCGUAACUAUUUUUUGAUAGCGGCAAAACAAAUAGAGGAUGUAACUUUUUUAAAUAAGUAUUUUGAAUAUUUGUAAUUUUGGAUUUUGUAUUUUGUGAUAACUGUCUUUUUGUAUUCUUGGAAGCAUUAG